AUUGAACGCUGGCGGCAGGCCUAACACAUGCAAGUCGAGCGGAUGAAGGGAGCUUGCUCUUGGAUUCAGCGGCGGACGGGUGAGUAAUGCCUAGGAAACUGCCCGGUAGUGGGGGAUAACGUCCGGAAACGGGCGCUAAUACCGCAUACGUCCUGAGGGAGAAAGUGGGGGAUCUUCGGAACUCACGCUAUCAGAUGAGCCUAGGUCGGAUUAGCUAGUUGGUGGGGUAAAGGCCUACCAAGGCGACGAUCCGUAACUGGUCUGAGAGGAUGAUCAGUCACACUGGAACUGAGACACGGUCCAGACUCCUACGGGAGGCAGCAGUGGGGAAUAUUGGACAAUGGGCGAAAGCCUGAUCCAGCCAUGCCGCGUGUGUGAAGAAGGUCUUCGGAUUGUAAAGCACUUUAAGUUGGGAGGAAGGGCAGUAAGUUAAUACCUUGCUGUUUUGACGUUACCAACAGAAUAAGCACCGGCUAACUUCGUG
rnacentral:rRNA from 1 species